CUCUUCGACGAAUCUCUGGCUCCUCUGCUUUGUGGUUGAAUUAUCGCCCCUGACAAGAUGCGCGUGUGCGCCUCAUAACACAACUGCACGUGUUUUUUCCUCCUAUUUCGUUUAUUUCAUUCUUUCUCUCUUUUAAGCUCUUAAUUCCUCCGUAACUUAACAAUAUGUAUUCCUUUUUCACUCCUUAUUUUAAAUUUUGCUAAUAUAUAUUUAACAUUAUUUAAAAAAAAGUUAAUGCUUUACGUGCGAAAGCUUAUUGAAGUCGACAACUGUUGCUAAGAGUUUAUUUUAUAGUAUUACAGCAUUUUGAGAAAUGCAUGAACAUCACAACUUCCCAUACAACAAUAGGCUUCAAGUCGAUGUUAAAAGAAGAAAGAAAAAAACAAUUGUGUGUAAAGAAGUAAAAGGAGACAAAUUAACAAAUUAUAUCUAGGUUCACACACAUAUCUCUCCACCUGUGUUAUCUCUACAUGUGCAUUUAUCUACACAUACACAUUUUGUUUUUAAAGAAAGAGUGAAAGGAAAAUAUUAAUAAUAAUAAUUUUCAACCGACGGAUACCGAAAAGAUUUCUUGAAGAAUUUUUUUUACUUGAAAUUAUUUUUCUUUGAUCUGUGGAUUUUACCAAAUUUUUGGAUUACAUAAUUUCAAAGAACACGGAUUUUACCAUUUGCAAUCACAGUUCCAACAGUUGUUAUCCAUGUCUCAAAAAAACCGCCAGAAGAAUGGAGGAGCUGAAGAGAUGGAGCAGACAAAUCCAGUAGAAUGGACACUGUAAAUCACACAGACUAGCAUAGGUCCAAAUAAGUCCUGGUCCAGCCAGUAAACCAAUGGGCAAUGACAUUCCAGCUGUAAUCACCCUAUCUUUUAUUCAGAAGUAAUAAACACAUCUAAAACCACAUUA